rnacentral:rRNA from 2 species
AAAAGAAACUAACAAGGAUUCCCCCAGUAACGGCGAGUGAAGCGGAAGAGCUCAAGCUUAAAAUCUCCAUACUUGUAUGGCGAAUUGUAGUCUAUUGAGGCUGUUGUCAGCAUCGCGAUUGGGGACAAGUCCCUUGGAAAAGGGCAGCAUAGAGGGUGAUACUCCCGUCUCUGCUCCAAUCUGCGGUGUGUACGAUACGCUUUCUUUGAGUCGAGUUGUUUGGGAAUACAGCUCAAAGUAGGUGGUAAAUUCCAUCUAAAGCUAAAUAUUGGUGCGAGACCGAUAGCGAACAAGUACCGUGAGGGAAAGAUGAAAAGAACUUUGAAAAGAGAGUUAAAGAGUACCUGAAACUGUUGAAAGGGAACCGUAUCGUUUCCAGUGUUGUAUCCUAUGCAUAUUUCAUUCGCGGAGUAAUUUGCGGGUGCCCUGUGCAUGGGUGUGACGUCAGGGUCAGUUUGUAUGCUGCGGGAGAUGGUCAGUGAGGAGGUGCGUCACUUCGGUGAAAGUUAUAUCUCGCUGUCUAGUAGCCGUGGUUGAGACUGAGGUGCCUACAACAUGCCUUAAGGUUCCGUGUUGUCUCGUGUUGGUGACUGCUUUGAUAGCUUGCUAUGUCUGUGGUUUAUCAGUGCGAUUGAUGAUGCGGAUAACUUUUGCUGUUCGGGACU